UUUUUACAAAUCCCAAUUUUUGAUAACAAGAUUUAAAGUAUUGGUAUCGGAUAUCGUAUCAGAAGGGUGAUUUUAAGAGAAGUAUUAUAUCAUAUUGGAAAGACACAAGAUACGCUAGAUACGUAUGGAAAUGGUCAAAAACAUAUGAAAAUGCUUAGGAUAUAUGCAAAAUACAGUUUUGAAGCAUAAAACACUAUAAAUAAGUAAUAUGCAAAAUAUAUCAUGUAUAAAAAGGAGUAUAAAGUAUGAUGAGACAAGUGAA